rnacentral:rRNA from 1 species
UACGAAGGGGGCUAGCGUUGCUCGGAAUCACUGGGCGUAAAGGGCGCGUAGGCGGCCACGCACGUCCGUUGUGAAAUCGCCCGGCUCAACUGGGCGGGGUCAGCGGAUACGGUGUGGCUCGAGCAAGCUAGGGGGCAAUGGAACUCCCGGUGUAGUGGUGGAAUGCGUAGAUAUCGGGAAGAACACCAGUGGCGAAGGCGGUUGCCUGGAGCUUUGCUGACGCUGAUGCGCGAAAGCGUGGGGAGCGAGCCGG